AAUAAAUCAUACACACAUAAUUAAUCAGCUAUGUACAAACCCUAGGUUCAGAUUAACGAACUAGCCAGACAUACUAAAAUAAAUCAAAAGCAUAAAUAAAAAGAAAGCAAUUAAAAUAAAUGAAAUAGAUAAAACCCAGAAGAAAUUAUGGAUGAACAGCUUGAAUCUGCAGAAAUAAAUCUAAACUGAAUGUAAAACUGAAAAAAAAAAAAAAAAAA
rnacentral:lncRNA from 1 species